rnacentral:rRNA from 1 species
UACGUAGGUGGCAAGCGUUGUCCGGAUUUACUGGGCGUAAAGAGCGCGCAGGCGGUCGUUCAAGUCGCGUGUGACAGCCCCCGGCUCAACUGGGGAGGGUCACGCGAUACUGAUCGACUCGAAGGCAGGAGAGGGUAGUGGAAUUCCCGGUGUAGUGGUGAAAUGCGUAGAUAUCGGGAGGAACACCAGUGGCGAAGGCGACUACCUGGCCUGUUCUUGACGCUGAGGCGCGAAAGCUAGGGGAGCAAACGGG